CUGCCAAAAGUUUGGUGCAGUUUGGGUGACAGUGUCGCACACCGAGGUCUUGAUCAGUUGGUGUUGUUGACAUCGUUGCCCAUAGCCAUCGCUUCUCCUUGAGCUGGCGAGGAAGAGGAAGACCUCAGCGCAGCCCCUUGUCCAUGGCCAUGGAGACUGAGCAAUGGAGGGCGAUGAUAUGAUAGUGAUCACCAAGGAAACUAAAAAACAUUGGUGGGUCUCCACAUCUCCAACAGAGCCGAGUUAGAUGCUGCUGUUUGGGUGCAAUGGACUUCACUUGGGUCAGGGACAAGCCGCGUCAAGUGGUCCCAGCUGCAUCAUUUACAAAGAAGGAUGCUGAUCAUUUGUCUAUCGAAGAGACAAAAAGGUUACAUGUUCCACACCCUUAUGACAGCGGUGGUUUCCAUGAAGACUCCAAAACUGCAAAGCCCACACCGUCCCCUUCUCCUUCGGUUGGUCCACAGGGAGACAGAGCCCUUGGAGGCAGCUCAGGACGGGCACGGCAGCCAAGGUUCUCCAGCUGCAGGUCAGGCUCCCUUUCAGAGUGGUUAUUUUGCUCUUUCAUACCCCAAAUGUUGCUUGAGGUGCUGAAGAAAGUGACCGAGUCCCCGCUGGAUGCCAAGGUGGGAAGGGAGUGGAGGAAACACUGGGAUCUCCUGCUCCCCUCGGGUGCACCAAGCACUGUUUCAUGCCCAUCCCCUGCAGAUGAGGGAAAAUGAAGCAUCAGAUGCCUGUAAGAUCUUUAUAUGUUUAU